UACGUAGGGUGCGAGCGUUGUCCGGAAUUAUUGGGCGUAAAGGGUGCGUAGGCGGUUGUUUAAGUUUGGUGUGAAAUCUCCCGGCUCAACUGGGAGGGUGCGCCGAAUACUGAAUGACUUCGAGUGCGGGAGAGGAGAGUGGAAUUCCUGGUGUAGCGGUGAAAUGCGUAGAUAUCAGGAGGAACACCGGUGGUGUAGACGGCUCUCUGGACCGUAACUGACGCUGAGACACGAAAGCGUGGGUAGCAAACAGG
rnacentral:rRNA from 1 species